GAUGAACGCUGGCGGCGUGCUUAACACAUGCAAGUCGAACGGAAAGGCCCCUGCUUGCUGGGGUACUCGAGUGGCGAACGGGUGAGUAACACGUGGGUGAUCUGCCCUGCACUUCGGGAUAAGUCUGGGAAACUGGGUCUAAUACCGGAUAGGAGGACGGGUUGCAUGCUAUUGGGGAAAGAUUUUGCGGUGUGGGAUGGGCUCGCGGCCUAUCAGCUUGUUGGUGGGGUAGUGGCCUACCAAGGCGUCGACGGGUAGCCGGCCUGAGAGGGUGUACGGCCACAUUGGGACUGAGAUACGGCCCAGACUCCUACGGGAGGCAGCAGUGGGGAAUAUUGCACAAUGGGCGGAAGCCUGAUGCAGCGACGCCGCGUGCGGGAUGACGGCCUUCGGGUUGUAAACUGCUUUCGCCAGGGACGAAGCGCAAGUGACGGUACCUGGAGAAGAAGCACCGGCUAACUACGUG
rnacentral:rRNA from 1 species